UACGUAGGGUGCAAGCGUUAAUCGGAAUUACUGGGCGUAAAGCGCACGUAGGCGGCUUUGUAAGUUAGAGGUGAAAGCCUGGAGCUCAACUCCAGAAUUGCCUUUAAGACUGCAUCGCUUGAAUCCAGGAGAGGUGAGUGGAAUUCCGAGUGUAGAGGUGAAAUUCGUAGAUAUUCGGAAGAACACCAGUGGCGAAGGCGGCUCACUGGACUGGUAUUGACGCUGAGGUGCG
rnacentral:rRNA from 1 species